GUUUGGGGACUCAUAGGAGACUGCCGGUGAUAAACCGGAGGAAGGUGGGGACGACGUCAAGUCAUCAUGCUCCUUUAUGUCCAGGGCUGCACGCAUGCUACAAUGGCAAGUACACCGAGUCGCAAUCUCGCGAGGUGGAGCAAAUCUCUUAAAGCUUGUCUCAGUUCGGAUAGGAGUCUGCAACUCGACUCCUUGAAGUUGGAGUCGCUAGUAAUCGCAAAUCAGCAAAGUUGCGGUGAAUACGUUCUCGGGGUUGGUACACACCGCCCGUCAAGUCACGGAAGUCGGCAAUACCCGAAUCCAGUGGUCCAACCCUUUUGGGAGGAAGCUGUCGAUGGUAGGGUCGGUAACUGGGUCUAAGUCGUAACAAGGUAGCCGUACGGGAACGUGCGGCUGGAUCACCUCCUUUCUAAGGAGCAUAGAACUUCGGUUCUAAGGUCAAUCGUCGGUUGUCUACAAGACUGAUACAUUACUCAGCUGUGAAAAAGUCAAAUUGGCUUUUUGAAAAUUGUAUAGCAAGCGCAAUUGCAAAGUAUUCAUAUAGUUCAAGCUACUAAGGGCUACUGGUGGAUGCCUUGG
rnacentral:sRNA from 1 species